rnacentral:rRNA from 1 species
GACGAACGUUGGCGGCGUGCUUAAUACAUGCAAGUCAACUGAAGCAGCGGUAGCAAUCUCGCUGUGGAGGUGGCGCACGGGUGAGUAACACGUAGGUAAUCUGCCUUCAGGUCUGGCAUAACUCCGAGAAACCGGGGCUAAUAGCCGAUGAUGCAGCGGCUCGACAUCGAGACAGUUGUUAAAGCUAUGGCGCCUGAAGAUGAGCCUGCGUCUGAUUAGCUAGUUGGCGGGGUAACGGCCAACCAAGGCAACGAUCAGUAGCUGGCCUGGGAGGAUGAUGAGGCACACUGGAGGUGAGACACGGACCAGAAUCCUACCGGAGGCAGCAGUAGGGAAAAUAGCUCAAUGGGUGAAAUCCUGAAGCAACGACGCCGCGAGAAAGACGAAGUGCGGUAGCUUGUAAACCUCUGUGGUGAGAGAAAUAAAUCCCAAUCAUGGGUACAUGAUGGUAACUCAAAAAUAAGCCCCGGCUAACUACGUG